rnacentral:misc_RNA from 1 species
UGACCCUAUUAAAACCCUUCUAAAAACCUUUAGAUCUUUUGAAAGUAUGUGCUACAUUAGUAGAGAUAGGGAAUUGAGAUGUACCUAUGGAAUUGGAACUAAUUCAAAUUCACCAAUAAUCUUCAAAAAGAGGCAUAUUUGGGGGAGUAAAUAUUUCUUAAGUCUAUCCUCAUAAACAGAUUAUUUGUGACUUAUAAAUAGCCUUGCAUAGAGGAGUAGUUAUUCGAAAUCCCACGAAAGGAGUGAAGCUUUGAGCAGACAACUAUUGAAGACCUUAUGCCUUGAAGGAAGGGAGUUCGUAUGAAGGUUGAAGGAGUUCAAUUAUUUGCAUAUUGAGUUUAUGGUUAUGUUUCUGAGUUUUUCCCCUAAAAAAUAUUCUAAAAAAGUUUUCAAUUUGUUUGAAGACAGGCAAAAGCUUGAGUUUGGAGGUAUUUGAUGCA